rnacentral:tRNA from 1 species
GUUUUAAUAGUUUAUCAUAAAACAUUGGUCUUGUAAACCAAAAAAAAAGUUCAACUUUUAAAGCU